AUGUUUGAUGUUCUAACGUUGACCCGUAAUCCGGGUUGCGGACAGUGUCUGGUGGGUAGUUUGACUGGGGCGGUCUCCUCCUAAAGAGUAACGGAGGAGCACGAAGGUUGGCUAAUCCUGGUCGGACAUCAGGAGGUUAGUGCAAUGGCAUAAGCCAGCUUGACUGCGAGCGUGACGGCGCGAGCAGGUGCGAAAGCAGGUCAUAGUGAUCCGGUGGUUCUGAAUGGAAGGGCCAUCGCUCAACGGAUAAAAGGUACUCCGGGGAUAACAGGCUGAUACCGCCCAAGAGUUCAUAUCGACGGCGGUGUUUGGCACCUCGAUGUCGGCUCAUCACAUCCUGGGGCUGAAGUAGGUCCCAAGGGUAUGGCUGUUCGCCAUUUAAAGUGGUACGCGAGCUGGGUUUAGAACGUCGUGAGACAGUUCGGUCCCUAUCUGCCGUGGGCGCUGGAGAACUGAGGGGGGCUGCUCCUAGUACGAGAGGACCGGAGUGGACGCAUCACUGGUGUUCGGGUUGUCAUGCCAAUGGCACUGCCCGGUAGCUAAAUGCGGAAGAGAUAAGUGCUGAAAGCAUCUAAGCACGAAACUUGCCCCGAGAUGAGUUCUCCCUGACUCCUUGAGAGUCCUGAAGGAACGUUGAAGACGACGACGUUGAUAGGCCGGGUGUGUAAGCGCAGCGAUGCGUUGAGCUAACCGGUACUAAUGAACCGUGAGGCUUAACCUU
rnacentral:rRNA from 1 species